GGGGAAUUUUCCGCAAUGGGCGAAAGCCUGACGGAGCAAUACCGCGUGAGGGAGGAAGGCUUUUGGGUUGUAAACCUCAAAACUUAGGGAAGAAAAAAAUGACGGUACCUAAUCUAAGCAUCGGCUAACUCCGUGCCAGCAGCCGCGGUAAUACGGAGGAUGCAAGCGUUAUCCGGAAUUAUUGGGCGUAAAGAGUCCGUAGGUGGCAAUUCAAGUCUGCCGUCAAAGACUAGAGCUUAACUCUGGAAAGGCGGUGGAAACUGAAGAGCUAGAGUUCGGGAGGGGUAGAGGGAAUUCCCAGUGUAGCGGUGAAAUGCGUAGAGAUUGGGAAGAACACCAGUGGCGAAGGCGCUCUACUGGACCGAAACUGACACUGAGGGACGAAAGCUAAGGGAGCGAAAGGGAUUAGAUACCCCUGUAGUC
rnacentral:rRNA from 1 species